UACGGGGGGGGUAAGCGUUGUUCGGAAUUACUGGGCGUAAAGGGCUCGUAGGCGGCCAACUAAGUCAUACGUGAAAUCCCUCAGCUUAACUGGGGAACUGCGUGUGAUACUGGAUGGCUUGGAUUUGGGAGAGGGAUGCGGAAUUCCAGGUGUAGCGGUGAAAUGCGUAGAUAUCUGGAGGAACACCGGUGGCGAAGGCGGUCUGCUGGGCAGUUGCUGACACUGAGGCGCGACAGCGUGGGGAGCAAACAGG
rnacentral:rRNA from 1 species